UGGGGAAUAUUGCACAAUGGGGGAAACCCUGAUGCAGCGACGCCGCGUGAGCGAAGAAGGUUUUCGAAUCGUAAAGCUCUGUCCUAUGGGAAGAUAAUGACGGUACCAUAGGAGGAAGCCCCGGCUAACUACGUGCCAGCAGCCGCGGUAAUACGUAGGGGGCAAGCGUUGUCCGGAAUCACUGGGCGUAAAGGGUUCGCAGGCGGAAAUGCAAGUCAGUUGUGAAAGGCAGAGGGUCAACCUCUGUAAGCAAUUGAAACUGUAUUUCUUGAGAUGUGGAGAGGCAAGUGGAAAUCCUAGUGUAGCGGUGAAAUGCGUAGAUAUUAGGAAGAAUACCGGUGGCGAAGGCGACUUGCUGGACACAAACUGACGCUGAGGAACGAAAGCGUGGGUAGCAAACAGG
rnacentral:rRNA from 1 species